GACGAACGCUGGCGGCGUGCCUAACACAUGCAAGUCGAACGGAGAUAUGAUUUCGGUUGUAUCUUAGUGGCGAACGGGUGAGUAACGCGUGAGCAACCUGACUCUUAGAGGGGGAUAACACUCGGAAACGGGUGCUAAUACCGCAUAAGACCACGACAUGGCAUCAUGACGAGGUCAAAGGAGCAAUCCGCUGAGAGAGGGGCUCGCGUCCCAUUAGAUAGAUGGCGGGGUAACGGCCCACCAUGUCAACGAUGGGUAGCCGAGCUGAGAGGCUGAUCGGCCACACUGGAACUGAGACACGGUCCAGACUCCUACGGGAGGCAGCAGUGGGGAAUAUUGGGCAAUGGGCGCAAGCCUGACCCAGCAACGCCGCGUGAGGGAAGAAGGCUUUCGGGUUGUAAACCUCUGUCCUUGGUGACGAAACAAAUGACGGUAGCCAAGGAGGAAGCCCCGGCUAACUACGUGCCAGCCGCCGCAGUAAGAC
rnacentral:rRNA from 1 species